rnacentral:rRNA from 1 species
AGCGAACGCUGGCGGCAGGCCUAACACAUGCAAGUCGAACGAACCUUUCGGGGUUAGUGGCGGACGGGUGAGUAACACAUUGGAACGUGCCUUUAGGUUCGGAAUAACUCAGGGAAACUUGUGCUAAUACCGAAUGUGCCCUUCGGGGGAAAGAUUAAUCGCCUUUAGAGCGGCCCGCGUCUGUUUAGCUAGUUGGUUGAGGUAAUGGCUCACCAAGGCGACGAUCAGUAGCUGGUCUGAGAGGAUGAUCAGCCACAUUGGGACUGAGACACGGCCCAAACUCCUACGGGAGGCAGCAGUGGGGAAUCUUGCGCAAUGGGCGAAAGCCUGACGCAGCCAUGCCGCGUGAAUGAUGAAGGUCUUAGGAUUGUAAAAUUCUUUCACCGGGGACGAUAAUGACGGUACCCGGAGAAGAAGCCCCGGCUAACUUCGUG